rnacentral:rRNA from 1 species
AUUGAACGCUGGCGGCAGGCCUAACACAUGCAAGUCGAGCGGGGUUUUCGGACCUAGCGGCGGACGGGUGAGUAAUGCGUAGGAAGCUACCCGAUAGAGGGGGAUACCAGUUGGAAACGACUGUUAAUACCGCAUAAUGUCUACGGACCAGAGUGUGGGACCUUCGGGCCACAUGCUAUCGGAUGCGCCUACGUGGGAUUAGCUAGUUGGUGGGGUAAUGGCUCACCAAGGCGACGAUCCCUAGCUGGUUUGAGAGGAUGAUCAGCCCCACUGGUACUGGAACACGGACCAGACUCCUACGGGAGGCAGCAGUGGGGAAGCUUGGUCAAUGGGCGCAAGCCUGAACCAGCGACGCCGCGUGAGUGAUGAAGGCCUUCGGGUUGUAAAGCUCUGUGGGGAGAGACGAAAGAGCACGUUCUAACAGGACGUGUGUUGACGGUAUCUCUUUAGCAAGCACCGGCUAACUCUGUGCCAGCAGCCGCGGUAAGAC